UUCCGCUCGGCCUAUGAGAACUUCCGGUGCACCGUUUUGAAUCUUCGUUUGGUGUCUUUCGGUUGCUAUCCGAGGCUUUGGGCCCAAAGCAAAUGUAUUGACCAUCAUCUUCAAAGAGACAGAGAGAGACCAUGGAUGAUGAUAAUCACAGAUUAUUUCAAAGAGUUUCAGAGAAACUGGGCUGGUCAGAGAAGGGAGGAUUGGAAACAGCAGAACAACAGCUGAUUAAGAGCGUCGGUAAGACUCGGCAUCUGGCCACAGGCUGUCAUGGCUCCAGGGGG